GACGAACGCUGGCGGCGUGCUUAACACAUGCAAGUCGAACGGAAAGGCCCUGCUUUUGUGGGGUGCCCGAGUGGCGAACGGGUGAGUAACACGUGAGUAACCUGCCCUUGACUUUGGGAUAACUUCAGGAAACUGGGGCUAAUACCGGAUAGGAGCUCCUGCUGCAUGGUGGGGGUUGGAAAGUUUCGGCGGAUGGGGAUGGACGCGCGGCUUAUCAGCUUGUGGGUGGGGUAGUGGCUUACCAAGGCUUUGACGGGUAGCCGGCCUGAGAGGGUGACCGGCCACAUUGGGACUGAGAUACGGCCCAGUCUCCUACGGGGGGCAGCAGUGGGGAAUAUUGCACAAUGGGCGGAAGCCUGAUGCAGCAACGCCGCGUGCGGGAUGACGGCCUUCGGGUUGUAAACCGCAUUCGCCUGUGACGAAGCGUGAGUGACGGUAAUGGGUAAAGAAGCACCGGCUAACUACGUG
rnacentral:rRNA from 1 species